CGGGAUGUAGCGCAGCCCGGUAGCGCGCUUCGUUCGGGACGAAGAGGUCGUGGGUUCGAAUCCCGCCAUCCCGA
rnacentral:tRNA from 2 species